CUUUGUGUCUUAAAACUUUGCCAUUUGGGUAAACAAAGAAAAAGGACGGAGAGGGACAAAAAUUUUUCUGCUUGGCUGCUCCUCUCUCCAAACUAUAUUAACACAAAAAUCCUACAUUCAGAAAUUCUUUCCUCUUUUCUUUCUUUCAAGUUUCAACCCAGAGACAGAAAAGGCAACACCCAGAAAGAAAUUUCUAUGUAAAGAAAAUGGCAAUGGUGGCAGCAUCCAAUUUAAGUACAUACCAAAAGACUCAGAUGCUUCAGGUGAUAUGCAGAAGGAAAGAAAGAGGAAGAGAACAUCACAACAAUUACCCCUAUAAAGUCAUCGAAAUUACACCCCCACCCAAGUCCCUUGGUGUUCGUUGCUUCCCUCCUAUGUCAAGGGCCCUUCAUCAUGUGUUUUAGAAGCAGAAAGCUGAGAAUAGGCCCUUCUCUCAAAUUCUAAGCACCAGGCAUACAGAACUUUAAUGAUCUGUCAUCUUGUCGAUAUUGCUACACUUGUUCAUGGGGAUCAGUAGGUCCGAUACAGUUGUGAAACUAGAAACUAUUAUGACAUGAUAUCACUGCUGGGGCAUUUAUGCUCCAUUCUGUCAGUUCUGAUUGUUCCUUCUGUAUCAGAAUUUGCAGUGUGGGGAGAGUGUGACAAUUGAAGGCCAAACAUAUACAAUCUCAGCUGUAACUCACCGCUACCAGCUUCGCAAAGGAAAGUACGAACCUAGUGAAAAGAGGCUUGAUGUUCUGUCCACAGGGAGAUACAUCCUUAACUUAUAUCUCGAAAGCUUGCUAGACCAGUCUUGAUGCCUAGUUUCAAACCAUUUUUUCUUCUUUUUAACUAGACAUAAUGCCUUUAUGUCUACUUACAGAAAAGAAAAAAGAGUCAAGAUUAUCAGAUUGUAGAUGUUUGAAUAUGCUUUAACUAAUGUAAAUGAAUCCUGAAGUUGUAUAAUGCUUGAUUUAUGUAUGAAACCUUUAUGGUAACCAUUGGCAUAUGAUUCAACAGAUGAUAUUGCUUUA